GCUCUCGUGGCGGAAUUGGUAGACGCCCUAGCCUUAGGAGCUAGCGCCUUCUGGCAUGUCGGUUCGAAUCCGACCGGGAGCACCA
rnacentral:tRNA from 1 species